AUUGAACGCUGGCGGCAUGCUUUACACAUGCAAGUCGAACGGUAACAGGCCGCAAGGUGCUGACGAGUGGCGAACGGGUGAGUAAUGCAUCGGAACGUACCCAGUCGUGGGGGAUGACGCAGCGAAAGCUGUGCUAAUACCGCAUACGAUCUGUGGAUGAAAGCGGGGGACCGUAAGGCCUCGCGCGAUUGGAGCGGCCGAUGUCAGAUUAGGUAGUUGGUGGGGUAAAGGCUCACCAAGCCGACGAUCUGUAGCUGGUCUGAGAGGACGACCAGCCACACUGGGACUGAGACACGGCCCAGACUCCUACGGGAGGCAGCAGUGGGGAAUUUUGGGCAAUGGGCGCAAGCCUGAUCCAGCCAUGCCGCGUGCAGGAUGAAGGCCUUCGGGUUGUAAACUGCUUUUGUACGGAACGAAACGGCGCUUUCUAAUACAGAGCGCUAAUGACGGUACCGUAAGAAUAAGCACCGGCUAACUACGUGCCAGCCGCCGCGGUAAAAC
rnacentral:rRNA from 1 species